UAGUCCACGCCGUAAACGAUGGUCACUAGCUGUUCGGACUUCGGUCUGAGUGGCUAAGCGAAAGUGAUAAGUGACCCACCUGGGGAGUACGUUCGCAAGAAUGAAACUCAAAGGAAUUGACGGGGGCCCGCAUAAGCGGUGGAGCAUGUGGUUUAAUUCGAUGAUACGCGAGGAACCUUACCAGGGCUUAAAUGUAAGUUGCAUUAGCUAGAGAUAGCUAUUUCUUCGGACUACUUACAAGGUGCUGCAUGGUUGUCGUCAGCUCGUGCCGUGAGGUGUCAGGUUAAGUCCUAUAACGAGCGCAACCCCUGUUGUUAGUUGCCAGCGAGUCAAGUCGGGAACUCUAACAAGACUGCCAGUGCAAACUGUGAGGAAGGUGGGGAUGACGUCAAAUCAUCACGGCCCUUACGUCCUGGGCUACACACGUGCUACAAUGGUACAUACAGAGGGUUGCGAAGCCGCGAGGUGGAGCUAAUCUCAGAAAGUGUAUCUCAGUUCGGAUU
rnacentral:rRNA from 1 species